UGGGGAAUAUUGCACAAUGGGCGCAAGCCUGAUGCAGCCAUGCCGCGUGUGUGAAGAAGGCCUUCGGGUUGUAAAGCACUUUCAGCGAGGAGGAAGGUGGUGAACUUAAUACGUUCAUCAAUUGACGUUACUCGCAGAAGAAGCACCGGCUAACUCCGUGCCAGCAGCCGCGGUAAUACGGAGGGUGCAAGCGUUAAUCGGAAUUACUGGGCGUAAAGCGCACGCAGGCGGUUUGUUAAGUCAGAUGUGAAAUCCCCGGGCUCAACCUGGGAACUGCAUUUGAAACUGGCAAGCUAGAGUCUCGUAGAGGGGGGUAGAAAUUCCAGGUGUAGCGGUGAAGUGCGUAGAGAUCUGGAGGAAUACCGGUGGCGAAGGCGGCCCCCUGGACGAAGACUGACGCUCAGGUGCGAAAGCGUGGGGGAGCAAAACAGGAUUAGAUACCCUGGUAGUCCACGCUGUAAAACGAUGUCGAUUUGGAGGUUGUGCCCUUGAGGCGUGGCUUCCGGAGCUAACGCGUUAAAU
rnacentral:rRNA from 1 species